ensembl:lincRNA
AGCAUACUCACACAGAUCCUCAGCGACUUAAGCAAACAUACUGAGAAGCACAUGCUCCUGGGGGCAGGUCCACAUACUGAAUGUGAUGAGCACAGGGGCUGUCUACUUGUAAUAUGUCUCUGUGUAAAAAAUCUCAAAUAAAGGAUUUGAACGUCUUCGUCCAUCAGAAUUCCAGAACAAAAAGUGUUGUGAAGACACAUGGUUCUAACCAGCCUUAUGUAAGAAGUUACAGAAGACCUUGAGGAAUGCUUCCUGCUACAGGGAAGAAGAUUGACAGAGGCUGAAAAUGCCUGGGAGUGUCCUGACAUAUAUGUGUAUAUCUCACAAGGAACACCUUUCAGAGUUUUGUGUUUUAUAAGACAAAGUAAGACCCUGAAUUAUGGGAAUAUCAAUUUGCUCUAGCUGUCUAGAAAUUAUGCUAGAGAGCAGAAUUGUCGAAAAGUUCUUCUAAUUCCACUUAAAGGCUGUAUAUAUAUAUAAAAUCAAUGUAAGAAACCAGGGACAUCUGAGUCACCCUUAUGAGGGGUCAUCAGCAUGAUAUAGAUUAUUGUAACCAAUUAAAAAGUUUUAAACUGUACGUUUUUGCAUUUUAUUAUAUAAAGAAACUAUGACUAAUU